UAUUCCCUGCAUCGUGCCCUGAGGCCUGGCACAGGGCAGAUCAGCCCUUUAGUGCUCAGGAGGCAGGAUCUGGAGUUGGGGCACAACGAGGUACUGUAGCUUCUUCCUCCACAGCCGGCUGUGGAGUAGCAGGACCUGGCCCUUCUGCCUGGGCAGCAGAAUAUAUAUUUUACCUAUCAGAGACAUCUAUUUUUCUGGGCUCCAACACAUCUUGCCACCAUGUUGACAUAGGUUCCUUCCUGACUGUGCUCUCUCUCCUAACAGCUGUCCUGGUUGGCCCAGGUCCUUAUAUCAUGCCAGAGUCACAACUAUAGGGUCCCAGCUGGGGGCGGGUGGGCACUGGACCCUGCUGCUCUAGCCCCAGCCACCAGCCUGUCCCUGUUGUAAGGAAGCCAGGCCUAUUCUCUUCAUUUCUCUUAGGAGAGUGCCAAAAACUCAGGGACCCAGCACUGGACUGGGUUGGGAGUGGGAUGUCCCAGUGGGGUUUGGGCGAGCAGCCUGCUGGGAUCCCAUGGCCUGAGCAGAGCAUGUGGGAACUAUUCAGUGCCCUGUGAACUGUCUUCCUUGUUCUAGCUAGGCUGCUCAAGACUGUUCUCCACAGCAAGGUUCUGGGGCUUUUUGCCUUCAGUGUUGUGGCUCUAGGUAUGGGCCUAACUUGGGCUCUGGGUCUCUGUCCCUGGAGCUUGGGGCUCAGAGGAGCCUCUGCCCAGCCCCUCAGUAUUACCAUGUCUCCUUCCUCUUAGGGGUAGCAGAGACAGGGCUGCUUGUAGGAAGCUGGCACCACUCAGCUCUCCCUGCUACUCCAGCUUCCUCAGCCUCUGCAAGGCACUCAGGGUUGGGGACAGCAGGAUCAAGACAACUAGUUGGAGCCCUGUGUUCCAGAGGGCCUGAUGCCAAGGGGUAAUGGGCCCAGCACUGCCUCUGGAGCCCAGGCCCCAACACAGCCCCAUGGCCUCUGCCAGAUGGUUUUGAAGGUGAUCCAAGCAGGCCCCUUGUCUGUACAUAGUGACUGAAUGGGGGUGCUGGCAGGUGUGACAGCUGCCUCUGGGCAGAGCACAGCCUGACCCCUCUAGCCCCUGUAAAUACUGGAUCAAUGAAUGAAUAAAACCCUCCUAAGAAUCUCCUGAGAAA